CAAAUUAAAGCUUUAUAGAAAGCUUUUUAUUUACAUUAAGAUGAUUACUGUGCAAUUCAGUAUAAUUUGA
rnacentral:tRNA from 1 species